UACUGGCACGAUCUGGUGCGCUUCUUUCUCCUCCGGAAGACUCCCAAGGAGAUCUCCCGCCGCUCAACCUCCUAUUGGCUAAGGUAUUCUAGCAUUGGGAGACUUAGAUCUAAGAAAAUUGGUGAAGAAGAACGAGAGGGAGAGAGGGGGCAACUAAAAUUAAAGGACCUAAUCUAAAGUGCAAUCAAAAGUUGGGGGGAAAUAAAAGGGUAAAAGGAUCUAAUUCUCUUCUCAUGGAGACUAUUCAU
rnacentral:lncRNA from 1 species